rnacentral:rRNA from 1 species
UACGGAGGGGGCUAGCGUUGUUCGGAAUUACUGGGCGUAAAGCGCACGUAGGCGGCUUUGUAAGUUAGAGGUGAAAGCCCGGGGCUCAACUCCGGAAUUGCCUUUAAGACUGCAUCGCUAGAACGUCGGAGAGGUAAGUGGAAUUCCGAGUGUAGAGGUGAAAUUCGUAGAUAUUCGCAAGAACACCAGUGGCGAAGGCGGCUCACUGGCCCGAUACUGACGCUGAGGUGCGAAAGCGUGGGGAGCAAACAGG